AAAUAUAAAACUCACUAUUGAGUAAAAAUGGUUUGAUAAUUUUUAGAGGAUUCAGUGACGACGAGAGAAUGCCCCCAGAACUACUGCUUUAAUGGAGGAACCUGUCAUCACUCUUCAGAUGGCUACUUCUGCUCAUGUCCGCCUCUCUUCUAUGGGGAAUUCUGCACCGAAAGUGGAGUCGAAGGGACUGGUUAUAUUAAAGUUUCCAGCAGCAAGACGCAGUACCUCCUUAUGCUCAUCCUACCGAUAACUCUUCUUAUUGCAGUUUAUAUGGUCUACAAAUUCAAAAAAAAAUCAUGGCCAGGGAAUUAUCCCAACCAGAGUGGGAACCGUAGGCACCAAUUUUACCAUGACCGUCCACCAUCCUACGAACAAGCAAUGGUCAGACCAAUUUCACGGAAUUGGUCACAGGAGGUCGAGAUGAUGGAGACCAGAUACCAGGAGCCACCUCCUAAGUAUGAAGAUGUUGUAAUUUUCACGGAAACAAAUGGUACCACUAGAGAUCGUCAAAUACAAAGCCUGGAGAAUGGAUGCGUGCAGAACCAGCAGCAAUCAAGGACGAAUAGCACACAGAAAGUCACAUGAUGAUGAACCUAACAGACUACUAAGCACACAAUCUAAGUGGUGCAUGUGCAUGAAUGAUAGAUGGUUGUAUAUUUUUAUAGAAAAAUUAACCUUGCAAAACUGAAGGUGUUCAAGCCAAAAUACAAUCAAUCAACAAGAAUUUAUAUUGCACCAAUAUCUAUGGCAGAAUACAAUGUUCAGUGUCACUAUGACAGCACCAAUAUCUA